rnacentral:rRNA from 1 species
GUACAGGAUGGACCCGCGUCUGAUUAGCUAGUUGGUAAGGUAACGGCUUACCAAGGCGACGAUCAGUAGCCGACCUGAGAGGGUGAUCGGCCACAUUGGAACUGAGACACGGUCCAAACUCCUACGGGAGGCAGCAGUGGGGAAUAUUGCACAAUGGGCGAAAGCCUGAUGCAGCAACGCCGCGUGAGUGAUGAAGGCCUUCGGGUCGUAAAACUCUGUCCUCAAGGAAGAUAAUGACGGUACUUGAGGAGGAAGCCCCGGCUAACUACGUGCCAGCAGCCGCGGUAAUACGUAGGGGGCUAGCGUUAUCCGGAUUUACUGGGCGUAAAGGGUGCGUAGGCGGUCUUUCAAGUCAGGAGUGAAAGGCUACGGCUCAACCGUAGUAAGCUCUUGAAACUGGGAGACUUGAGUGCAGGAGAGGAGAGUGGAAUUCCUAGUGUAGCGGUGAAAUGCGUAGAUAUUAGGAGGAACACCAGUUGCGAAGGCGGCUCUCUGGACUGUAACUGACGCUGAGGCACGAAAGCGUGGGGAGCAAACAGGAUUAGAUACCCUGGUAGUCCACGCUGUAAACGAUGAGUACUAGGUGUCGGGGGUUACCCCCUUCG